rnacentral:rRNA from 1 species
UACGGGGGGGGCAAGCGUUGUUCGGAAUUACUGGGCGUAAAGGGCGCGUAGGCGGCCUGCUAAGUCGAACGUGAAAUCCCUGGGCUCAACCCAGGAACUGCGUCCGAUACUGGUUGGCUUGAAUCCGGGAGAGGGAUGUGGAAUUCCAGGUGUAGCGGUGAGAUGCGUAGAUAUCUGGAGGAACACCGGUGGCGAAGGCGACAUCCUGGACCGGCAUUGACGCUGAGGCGCGAAAGCCAGGGGAGCAAACGGGG